rnacentral:rRNA from 1 species
UCCGGAGACCUACGGGUGGCAGCAAUGGGGAAUAUUGGGCAAUGGGCGAAAGCCUGACCCAGCAACGCCGCGUGAAGGAAGAAGGCCUUCGGGUUGUAAACUUCUUUUAAGAGGGACGAAGAAGUGACGGUACCUCUUGAAUAAGCCACGGCUAACUACGUGCCAGCAGCCGCGGUAAUACGUAGGGAGCAAGCGUUGUCCGGAUUUACUGGGUGUAAAGGGUGCGUAGGCGGGAAUGCAAGUCAGAUGUGAAAUCCAGGGGCUUAACCCUUGAACUGCAUUUGAAACUGUAUUUCUUGAGUGUCGGAGAGGUUGACGGAAUUCCUAGUGUAGCGGUGAAAUGCGUAGAUAUUAGGAGGAACACCAGUGGCGAAGGCGGUCAACUGGACGAUAACUGACGCUGAGGCGCGAAAGCGUGGGGAGCAAACAGGAUUAGAUACCCCGGUAGUCUAAGAUUA